AUUGACAGGUUUCCUUUAUAUCCACCUAAGACUGAAAUCUGAAUAAUCACAAUUUAUCUUCAUUCAAGUCAAAAUAAUGUUCUGUGAAACUAUGAAACUGGCAUCCCAUACAAAAGGAAAAUGUUGAAGCAGACAACAAAUAUCUACUCCAGGGAAAUAUCUAGAGGUUGUUGGAGUGUGAUGAACUCUCUUUGGAAAUCUCACCUUCCAAGGUUCAAGUGAUCCUCCUGCAUCAGCGUCCCAAGUAGUCGGAAUUACUGGCAUACAGUACCAUGCCC
rnacentral:lncRNA from 13 species